CCUACGGGGGGCAGCAGUCGAGAAUCAUUCACAAUGGGGGAAACCCUGAUGGUGCGACGCCGCGUGGGGGAAUGAAGGUCUUCGGAUUGUAAACCCCUGUCAUGUGGGAGCAAAUUAAAAAGAUAGUACCACAAGAGGAAGAGACGGCUAACUCUGUGCCAGCAGCCGCGGUAAUACAGAGGUCUCAAGCGUUGUUCGGAAUCACUGGGCGUAAAGCGUGCGUAGGCGGUUUCGUAAGUCGUGUGUGAAAGGCGCGGGCUCAACCCGCGGACGGCACAUGAUACUGCGAGACUAGAGUAGUGGAGGGGGAACCGGAAUUCUCGGUGUAGCAGUGAAAUGCGUAGAUAUCGAGAGGAACACUCGUGGCGAAGGCGGGUUCCUGGACAUUAACUGACGCUGAGGCACGAAGGCCAGGGGAGCGAAAGGGAUUAGAUACCCCAGUAGUC
rnacentral:rRNA from 1 species